GCAGAGCCAAGGCCCGUUGGGCUGCCCUCUGGUGGCAGAGCUGGGGACUCCCGCACACCCUCCGGGAGCUGGGGGUUGGUGAAGAAAUCCCCUGAAGUCCCAUCCCAAGGUCACACCGAGACAGAUGGCAGAGUAGGACAAGAGCCCAGGUCACAGUCUGACGGUCUCACCACGCUCUCCUGCCUGCCCCGUCGCAGGGGCUGAGAUUGCUGCGAAAGAGAAGGCUUGUCUGGGGACGGGACUGAUGACCGCCUUUGAGCACAUUGGAGAAAAAAACUUAGGAGACGCAGGGCUCCUAGAGGGCAGGGAGGACUGAAGUUGCUUCCUGGGACUGGCAGCAGGACCCAGCACCCCACACAGCGGGUGCUCAGAGAAUACCGUCGUGCGGCAAACAGAUGAACGAAUGAGUGGUUUGGAGUUUCCCUGCCUGGAGAGCAUCAAAGCAGGACAGAUGCUACCUGUUCUGUCUCGUCCAAGACCUCAUUCCUGCCCAAAGGCUGAGGGCUGUGCCAGAUGCUUUCUCAAGGCAACUCAGCUUCUAUAAUUAGGGUUUACCAUGAUACUAGUUCUAGGUUCUUUCUUUUCACUGGCCAAACAUUUAUUCACUAUCUGCCAUGCCCCAGGUACUAGGCUAUUGUUCUGCAUGUCUUUGACCCUAUUCUAGUAUUUAAUUCCAUGAAGUGAGAUGUGAAGGUGCUCCUGUCACAGUCACUGCUGGGCGAGGUCAGCCAAGGCAGGCGGAGAGGAAUGGGCCUUGUCUGAGCCGAAUGAAAGUUGGCACCGUGGGUUUCCCUGUCUGCCGCUCCAUGCCAUCCCGGCCCACUCAGUCUCCUCCCCAGGUGCCAAUACCCACUGCCUGUUAGUAGGUACUAGAAUCUCCAGGGACCUCGUGCCUCCCCCUUCCCUCUUACUCACUACCUGUUGUGCUGGACGGGAAGAACUGAUGUGGAGCCAGGCAGCCCUGCAUCCAGCCCUGACUUUGGCACUUGUGACAUGUCCUGGACUGCUACCUAAUCUCAUUGGCGUGGGGGAUUCAGACCUUCCUCCCGCCGCACAGCCCGCGCAGUUCUGCCGAGAAGAGAGUUUCAGAAGGACCUUCCCUGGUUUCUCCCCAGCCCCGUGCGUCCAGCAGGGUCUUUUGUCCAGGUUAUAGACCCUUUACUCCCACCAUUUCAAUCUACUCUCUGUCGACCACAUUUGCCAUUCAUUAAAGAAUUCACCCACUCA